GACGAACGCUGGCGGCGUGCCUAAUACAUGCAAGUAGAACGCACAGUUUAUACCGUAGCUUGCUACACCAUAGACUGUGAGUUGCGAACGGGUGAGUAACGCGUAGGUAACCUGCCUGGUAGCGGGGAUAACUAUUGGAAACGAUAGCUAAUACCGCAUAAUAUUACUUAUUGCAUGAUAAUUAAUUGAAAGGUGCAAUUGCACCACUACCAGAUGGACCUGCGUUGUAUUAGCUAGUAGGUGAGGUAACGGCUCACCUAGGCGACGAUACAUAGCCGACCUGAGAGGGUGAUCGGCCACACUGGGACUGAGACACGGCCCAGACUCCUACGGGAGGCAGCAGUAGGGAAUCUUCGGCAAUGGACGAAAGUCUGACCGAGCAACGCCGCGUGAGUGAAGAAGGUUUUCGGAUCGUAAAGCUCUGUUGUAAGAGAAGAACGGGUGUGAGAGUGGAAAGUUCACACUGUGACGGUAUCUUACCAGAAAGGGACGGCUAACUACGUG
rnacentral:rRNA from 1 species